UGCUGAGAGCACAUGGCGGAGAGGGGACGCAGACUUAGCAACUGUGGCUAAUACAUCUUGGUCGCAAAAUAUUAGGAAAGUAUGAAUAUUUAGAUCCGACAAGUGGACUAACUUGCUCCAGGCGUCCAAAAUGGGCAUGAGAAGGAUGUGAGCAGUCCCAAAAAGACAAGUCAUCGUAAUCUUCUAAAUGAAGCUCAUCCUUUUUCCUAAGCUUGAGUCUGAGAAUUCAUCUGGGUAUCAGUCACUCACCCUGCCAAUGAGGAAUAUGUUGAAGAGGCCGUUCUGUGCGAUAAGAGCCUGCCAGUGGACAACCUGACCUUCAGUGGAUUGGACUGAAUUUGUACAGCGGUGAGGCAGAGAUCACGAGCCACUUACCUGAGAUAACAGUGACCCGCUGAACAUCAUGAGUCAUACUGACAUUGACAGCACUCACAACUGUGGCGGUGAUGUCACCUGCAAAGCUAAAUGGGUCAGAAGCAACUGAAUGUGUAAUAUACUUCUCUUAAGUAGAGACACUUUAAUCAAAAUUAGAGAUUUGGUGCUUGUAGUCCAUAUCUAUUAGCUUUGAGGCCAUCUCAUGUUAGUGUUCUAAAAGUGGACCAUAUUAACUUUGAGAAGAUUUACACAUUCACAAUUAACAGUCUUUAGUCUCUUCUUGGAAAAUGGACCAAAUCUUGCACAAUCUUGCACUCCCCAUUUUGUCCAAUAAAAUUUUCUCUAGAAUGAGAAUGUCCCUCCCUCUACCUACUUCUGACUGGCAAGUCUUUGAAGCAGUGACCUUGUGGCCAAUGCCAAAACUUCCUGUUUCAAUAGGAAAUACCUCAACACAGGAAAGAAAACUGUGCUUGUCAAGCAAAUUGAUUAGAUUUUUAAUAAAACUAAGAGCUUAAGCACAAUAUGCACAGUUUAAUACCAGUGUGACCCCAGUGGGCCGUAAUACUAACAUAUGCAUAUUAAUCUGUGACCGCGUUUGAAAUCUAUGAUAACAAUAAUGAUAAUGCCCUUAUGUUUUGAUGAUUAGGAGAAUGUACAUAUAUAACGAGAUGGCUUAAGUGCAAUACAGGCUGUUCCUCUCUUGUGCAGCGCAUUUUCUAAUGCAGCCUCAGAAAAGCACGGGUUAAUGGAAUUGCUUCAGGUCUGCUGUUGGGGAUAGAGAUGCCUUUGUUUAGAUUAAUAUGAUGGGAGAGGGUAUUAUAGGAGGGCACGGCCAAUCUGGCUAGACUGUUUCGUCAGUGGAUUCUCUCAUAAUCCUCUUUCUCUGACUGCAACCUUCACCAUGUGACAGCUUCUGUAACAGAAACCAUGAAUCUCAGGCCAAAAGACAGCUAAGGGCUUCAUGAAUUGUAAACAAACUGAAAUUCAUUAUGAAUGAUGAAAUAAAUGCUGAUGCAGGAACACAGGUCUCAGUUUGUGUGUCUACUUGUAUAUGUGAAUGGCAGUCACAAGCUCAGCA